GCAGCCGCCCCAUGCUGGGCUCGCUGCCGGCUCGGAGCUCGCAACCCCGUGCGGGCUUGCCGCCAGUCUUGUGCGCCGCCGACCCCCGAAGUUCCCACGGCCUUCGCACGGCGCUGCCGGCAGGGGCUCGCCGCUGAUCUCGUGUGCCACCGCCUUGGUCGAGAAGUAUGAAGGGGGAUGGAAGGAGGGAGAACUUUCUUGGCGAGACGAGAAGCGCCAUUCCAAUCCCCAGCGCCUCUGCAGGUUUGGGCCCGAGGUGUUUUGGUGGCCGCUGUUUUGGUGGUUUGAUUCCAGUUUUGAUUUUGUUUCCGGGAGCUUUAAUCUAAUCCUUUUUUAGCCAAGAUCUUAUAUAGACACAUUAGUCAAUGGCUCGUUCCAAAACCCUCACUCAGGUUGAGAAAAAAUCUGGUGAUUCACAAUUUUAGUCGGGGCUUAUGUUAGUAAAACAAAAUUUUCUUAAAUAGAUGUCUUUUAAGGUAUAGAAUGGGAAACAAGCCAGAUUUUAUGAAAACAAAUGGUUGGGGAACUCAACCCUUAAAGAUCAAUAUCCCAAUUUAUUCAAUCUGGUUCACCGCAUAUAUGUUACAGUUCAUACAGUGCUUAACGGAGAUCUUUUGAAUGUCUCAUUUAGGAGACACUUUACGGGAAAUAAUCUGAGGGACUGGAUGGAUUUGGGACAUUGCGUUGCUAACAUCCAGUUGGGGCAUAACAAGGAUAUUGGAAUCUGACAACUUCACAAAAGUGGCCAGUUUUCAGUUCGUUCUAUGUACUGAGCUCUGUUAGAUGUUCGAGUUCUACCCAUAAACAAGGCAAUAUGGAAACUGAAAAUUCCUUUGAAAAUUAAAAUUUUUAUUUGGUUACUCCACCGUAGGGUUAUCCUUACAAAGGAUAAUUUAGCCAAGCGUAAUUGGAAGGGGAGCAAACAAUGUUGUUUCUGCAUGAAUACCGAAACAAUUGUGCAUCUCUUUUUCGGGUGCCAUAUGACUAGGUUACUUUGGAGGAUAAUUUUCAUCACUUUCGGACUUGGCUGUAGGGUUUUACGUGGGAUAGUAAAAAAAUUAUGUUCACAGGUUUAUGUGCGCUUCUAUGGUUAAUCUGGUUAUCCAGAAAUGAUGUAGUUUUUUAUAAUACUCAAAGACAAACUGCUCUCCAGAUCCUUUUCAGGGCCACUCAUCUCACCAGGACAUGGGCGAUUUUGCAAAAGGAUGAGGACAGAGGCUUGAUUGUAGAUGCAUGCCGCGCUUUGAAAGUGACGGCGAUGGACAUCUUUGCACGGAACGGGUGGUAAUUUAGCAAUAGACUUUGUGGCUUGUAAUUUGCUUCCUAUUUAUCUCUCAAUGUUUGUAAUAAGGCCCGGAUAUAUCUUUUUGAUAUAUAGGCUGGAUAUUGUUUUCAA